CCCUUAGAUGUUCUGGGCCGCACGCGCGCUACACUGACGAAGUCAGCGAGCAUGUCCUACGCCGACAGGUGCGGGGAAUCUUGUCAAACUUCGUCGUGAUGGGGAUUGAUUAUUGAAAUUCUUGAUCAUCGACGAGGAAUUCCUAGUAAGCGCAAGUCAGCAGCUUGCGUUGAUUACGUCCCUGCCCUUUGUACACACCGCCCGUCGCUACUACCGAUUGAAUGGUUUAGUGAGAUCUUCGGAUUGGCGCCACUGCGGCUCAGCAAUGGGCUCGGUGGAUGCCGAAAAGUUGAUCAAACUUGAUCAUUUAGAGGAAGUAAAAGUCGUAACA
rnacentral:rRNA from 1 species